CCAUCCAACCACUUGAAAUUAAUUCUCACCUGUAUUCUCAUGGGUCACUUGUAAAUGCUUUGCCUAUAAAUUAGUGGUAGAAAAAGAAAAGAAGUGUGCCCGAGAAAGUGUGUUAAAAGGUGUGUGCAAUAGUGUGCAAAGUUGUCUGUAAAAAGAAGCUCCAUCUUCAGCCUUGUACAUUCAUCAGCAAUCAAUAAGAAAGUAAGAA
rnacentral:lncRNA from 1 species